rnacentral:tRNA from 1 species
GCGGGUGUAGUUUAGUGGUAAAACCUCAGCCUUCCAAGCUGAUGAUGUGGUUGAUUCUCAUCACCCGCU